UCAAGCUACUAAGGGCAUACGGUGGAUGCCUAGGCGCCAAGAGCCGAAGAAGGACGCGGUAAGCUGCGAAAAGCCACGGGGAACUGCAAGCAAGUAUUGAUCCGUGGAUAUCCGAAUGGGGAAACCCGGCCAUCGUCAUGGAUGGUCACCCGCAAGGGAGGGAACCUGGGGAACUGAAACAUCUAAGUACCCGGAGGAAGAGAAAUCAAACGAGAUGCCCACAGUAGCGGCGAGCGAAGAGGGCAGAGCCCAAACCGAGAAGCUCCGGCUUUUCGGGGUUGAGGACCGGCAGAAUCGAAGUCAGGCCUAGUUGAAUUACCUGGAAAGGUAAGCGAGAGAGGGUAAAAGCCCCGUAGACGAAAGGCAGAGCAGAGAGGCCGAGAUCCAGAGUACCACGAAGCACGAGGAAUUUUGUGGGAAGCAGGGGGGACCACCCUCCAAGGCUAAAAACUACUUGGCGACCGAUAGCGCAUAGUACCGUGAGGGAAAGGUGAAAAGAACCCCGGGAGGGGAGUGAAAUAGUACCUGAAACCGUAUGUCUACAAGCAGUCGAAGCGAAAGCGACGGCGUGCCUAUUGAAGAAUGAACCAACGAGUUAUCUGCACUAGCGAGGUUAAGUGGAAGACACGGAGCCGCAGCGAAAGCGAGUCUUAAGAGGGCGCUAGUUAGUGUAGGUAGACCCGAAACCGCAGUGAUCUACCCAUGUCCAGGUUGAAGCGCAGGUAAAAUUGCGUGGAGGACCGAACCGGUGAGCGUUGAAAAGCUUUCGGAUGAGAUGUGGGUAGGGGUGAAAUUCCAAUCGAACGCGGAGAUAGCUGGUUCUCCCCGAAAUAGCUUUAGGGCUAGCCUGAGGUAGUAAGUAUAGGCGGUAGAGCACUGAUCGGGCUAGGGGCCGUAAAGGUUACCGAACCCUGUCAAACUCCGAAUGGAUAUACUGUAGAGCCUUGGAGUCAGACUACGAGUGAUAAGAUCCGUGGUCAAAAGGGAAACAGCCCAGACCACCAGCUAAGGUCCCCAAUGUCGUACUAAGUGGAAAAGGAUGUGGGGUUUCAUAAACAACCAGGAUGUUGGCUCAGAAGCAGCCACCAUUUAAAGAGUGCGUAAUAGCUCACUGGUCGAGAGACCCUGCGCCGAAGAUUCCCGGGGCUAAAGUACGAAACCGAAGCUGUGGCUGUAUACGUAAAGUAUACGGGGUAGGGGAGCGUUCCCAUAGGGUAGAAGUCGAACUGGAAGGUUCGGUGGACUUGUGGGAAGUGAGAAUGUUGGUAUGAGUAGCGAAAAGAAAGGUGAGAAUCCUUUCCACCGAAAGCAUAAGGAUUCCUGAGCAACGAUCGUCGUCUCAGGGUAAGUCGGGACCUAAUCCGAGGCAGAGAGCGUAGGAGAUGGACAACUGGUUGAUAUUCCAGUACCGGUAGUAAUUGUUUGAGCAAUGGAGUGACACAGAAGGGCAGGCAAGCAUGCGAAUGGAAGAGCAUGUGUAAGCGUGUAGGGUGGUGCAUAGGCAAAUCCGUGCACUGAAAGCCUGAGGCGUGAUGCGGAGUGAGCAGAGAUGCGAGCGAAGUUGUUGACCCCACACUGUCGAGAAAAGCUUCUAGUGAGAGAGCUACCGCCCGUACCGUAAACCGACACAGGUAUGCGGGGAGAGAAUCCUAAGGUGCGCGGGAGAACCCUCGUUAAGGAACUCGGCAAAAUGUACCCGUAACUUCGGGAUAAGGGUAGCCACUGUUGUGAAGUCCCAUGCGGAUGGAGCAUAGAGUGGUCGCAGAGAAGAGGCCCAAGCGACUGUUUACCAUAAACACAGGUGCCUGCUAAAGCGAAAGCUGACGUAUAGGUGCUGACACCUGCCCAGUGCCGGAAGGUUAAGGAAGGAUGUUCGGAUUAGUCCAAAGCAUUCGACUGAAGCCCCGGUGAACGGCGGCCGUAACUAUAACGGUCCUAAGGUAGCGAAAUUCCUUGUCGGGUAAGUUCCGACCCGCACGAAAGGUGUAACGACUUGGGCACUGUCUCAACGAGGGACCCGGUGAAAUUGAAGUACCUGUGAAGAUGCAGGUUACCCGCGACUGGACAGAAAGACCCCAUGGAGCUUUACUGUAACCUGACAUUGGGUUUUGAUACAUUACGUACAGGAUAGGUGGGAGGCAUGGAAAGUUGGACGCUAGUCUGACUGGAGCCGACGUUGGGAUACCACCCUUGAUGUAUUGAAAUUCUAACCGCGAGAGUAACGAAAUCCGGGACAGUGUCAGGCGGGCAGUUUGACUGGGGCGGUCGCCUC
rnacentral:rRNA from 1 species